GACAACGUGUCCGAGUGGUUAAGGAGUUAGACUUGAAAUCUAAUGGCUUCGGCCUCGUAGGUUCGAAUCCUGCCGUUGUCG
rnacentral:tRNA from 6 species